rnacentral:tRNA from 1 species
GGUCCCGUGGUGUAGUGGUUAACAUGCCUGCCUGUCACGCAGGAGAUCGCCGGUUCGACC